GUGAGGAAUAUUGGUCAAUGGACGAGAGUCUGAACCAGCCAAGUCGCGUGAAGGAAGACGGUUCUAUGAAUUGUAAACUUCUUUUGUGCAGGAAUAAAGUGGGUUACGUGUAACCUUUUGUAUGUACUGUACGAAUAAGGAUCGGCUAAUUCCGUGCCAGCAGCCGCGGUAAUACGGAGGAUCCGAGCGUUAUCCGGAUUUAUUGGGUUUAAAGGGUGCGUAGGUGGAUUGAUAAGUCAGCGGUGAAAGUUUGCAGCUUAACUGUAAAAUUGCCGUUGAAACUGUCGGUCUUGAGUGCAAAUGAGGUAGGCGGAAUGUGUUGUGUAGCGGUGAAAUGCUUAGAUAUAACACAGAACUCCGAUUGCGAAGGCAGCUUACUGGGAUGCAACUGACACUGAUGCACGAAAGCGUGGGUAUCAAACAGGAUUAGAAACCCGAGUAGUCC
rnacentral:rRNA from 1 species